rnacentral:rRNA from 1 species
UGCUAUACAUGCAAGUAGAACGCUGAAGAGAGGAGCUUGCUCUUCUUGGAUGAGUUGCGAACGGGUGAGUAACGCGUAGGUAACCUGCCUUGUAGCGGGGGAUAACUAUUGGAAACGAUAGCUAAUACCGCAUAACAAUGGAUGACACAUGUCAUUUAUUUGAAAGGGGCAAUUGCUCCACUACAAGAUGGACCUGCGUUGUAUUAGCUAGUAGGUGAGGUAAUGGCUCACCUAGGCGACGAUACAUAGCCGACCUGAGAGGGUGAUCGGCCACACUGGGACUGAGACACGGCCCAGACUCCUACGGGAGGCAGCAGUAGGGAAUCUUCGGCAAUGGGGGCAACCCUGACCGAGCAACGCCGCGUGAGUGAAGAAGGUUUUCGGAUCGUAAAGCUCUGUUGUAAGUCAAGAACGGGUGUGAGAGUGGAAAGUUCACACUGUGACGGUAGCUUACCAGAAAGGGACGGCUAACUACGUGCCAGCAGCCGCGGUAAUACGUAGGUCCCGAGCGUUGUCCGGAUUUAUUGGGCGUAAAGCGAGCGCAGGCGGUUUGAUAAGUCUGAAGUUAAAGGCUGUGGCUCAACCAUAGUUCGCUUUGGAAACUGUCAAACUUGAGUGCAGAAGGGGAGAGUGGAAUUCCAUGUGUAGCGGUGAAAUGCGUAGAUAUAUGGAGGAACACCGGUGGCGAAAGCGGCUCUCUGGUCUGUAACUGACGCUGAGGCUCGAAAGCGUGGGGAGCGAACAGGAUUAGAUACCCUGGUAGUCCACGCCGUAAACGAUGAGUGCUAGGUGUUGGAUCCUUUCCGGGAUUCAGUGCCGCAGCUAACGCAUUAAGCACUCCGCCUGGGGAGUACGACCGCAAGGUUGAAACUCAAAGGAAUUGACGGGGGCCCGCACAAGCGGUGGAGCAUGUGGUUUAAUUCGAAGCAACGCGAAGAACCUUACCAGGUCUUGACAUCCCGAUGCUAUUUCUAGAGAUAGAAAGUUACUUCGGUACAUCGGUGACAGGUGGUGCAUGGUUGUCGUCAGCUCGUGUCGUGAGAUGUUGGGUUAAGUCCCGCAACGAGCGCAACCCCUAUUGUUAGUUGCCAUCAUUCAGUUGGGCACUCUAGCGAGACUGCCGGUAAUAAACCGGAGGAAGGUGGGGAUGACGUCAAAUCAUCAUGCCCCUUAUGACCUGGGCUACACACGUGCUACAAUGGUUGGUACAACGAGUUGCGAGUCGGUGACGGCGAGCUAAUCUCUUAAAGCCAAUCUCAGUUCGGAUUGUAGGCUGCAACUCGCCUACAUGAAGUCGGAAUCGCUAGUAAUCGCGGAUCAGCACGCCGCGGUGAAUACGUUCCCGGGCCUUGUACACACCGCCCGUCACACCACGAGAGUUUGUAACA